CCUACGGGCGGCAGCAGUAGGGAAUCUUCCACAAUGGGCGAAAGCCUGAUGGAGCAACGCCGCGUGGGUGAAGAAGGUCUUCGGAUCGUAAAACCCUGUUGUUAGAGAAGAAAGUGCGGGAGAGUAACUGUUCACGUUUCGACGGUAUCUAACCAGAAAGCCACGGAUAACUACGUGCCAGCCGCUGCCGUAAUACGUAGGGGGCAUGCGGUAUCCGGAUUUAUUGGGCGUAAAGGGAACGCAGGCGGUCUUUUAAGUCUGAUGUGAAAGCCUUCGGCUUAACCGGAGUAGUGCAUUGGAAACUGGGAGACUUGAGUGCAGAAGAGGAAAGUGGAAGUCGAGGUGUAGCGGUGAAAUGCGUAGAUAUAUGGAAGAACACCAAUGGCGAAGGCGGCUCUCUGGUCUGUAACUGACGCUGAGGUUCGAAAGCGUGGGUAGCAAACAGGAUUAGAUACCCCAGUAGUC
rnacentral:rRNA from 1 species